UUUCCUGAUGAGAACAAUUUGCGAUUGAUUCUACCAGGUGGCUCUCUUUCGCCGGAGUAGCUAGAUCUGGUAGAUACAUGACAUUUAAUUUCUUACAUAUUCUGAAU
rfam:Gaeumannomyces graminis var. tritici R3-111a-1 unplaced genomic scaffold supercont2.7, whole genome shotgun sequence.